rnacentral:lncRNA from 1 species
AACGUAACACUCGGGAUAAAACUACAAGUUGCAGAAAUCCACACUAAUCAGAUGCGCCUCCGCAGAACAUCAGUGAAUUCAGUUGCACGCAUCAAAGCGCACGAUGGUGGCUCUAUAUUCGCCUUCUAGUCAGAAUCACAUGCACCAGCAAACCAUUCCACCGAGUACUUGUACUUCAAUUCCAUCGCAGUCGCAACCUAACAUUCAUGGGAACCUCUCCAGGAAACUAACCCAGACCGGGUCGUACCCCUCGAGCUCACCCGAUACGGAAAAGCUACAGCAAAGGCGGGUGACAGAUCUGGCGCGAGGGCGCCCUUGGCGCGAGGGUUUGUUGUGGGUGUGAGCGGCGGGCGGAGAGCGUUACCGGGACCAUGAAUAUGAUGCGGACGAUGAACCGCUGGUAGAUGGGCUCGACGUAGUGGAGGAGGUGGCGGUAGAUGUGCGUGAGCGCGACCACGCUCGUCGCCGCGGCGCACACCAACGCCGCGGCCGUGUACACCGCUGACCCCCACUCCAUCGGGCCGGCCACCACCACCGGCGCUCCUCCCGUGUCCCGCCGCGGCGCGCGCGCAGCAGCAGCAACCAACGGACUGUGGGGGCGUGCGGGAUUCGCGGCGGGAUUCGUGGAGCGUGUGCUGCGGCGGGCAGACGAGCGGUAGCGGCGGGGGCAGUCUACACUACCUACUUAAUAGUUAGUAGAGUGUUCGUAUUUUCCAAGCUAGAAGUUUGGCAUUAGUGUUGCAGAAGUUGUACCAAAUGAUUACUCUUGGUCUUACAUUUUCCAAACUGCAAGCCAUCUUACAACUGCAGCAGAUAGAUUCACUUGUGGACCAUAACAAUAGAGCAAAUGUAUACACGUUAAUACAUAUCCUAUGACCCAAACAUAACACUCGGGACAAAACUACAAGUUGUAGAAAUCCACACUGAUCAGAUGCGCUCUCCGCAGAACAUCAGUGAAUUCAGUUGCACACAUCAAAGCGCACGGUGGUGGCUCUAUAUUCGCCUUCUAGUCAGAAUCACAUGCACCAGCAAAGCUUUCCACCUAGUACUUGUACUUCAAUUCCAUCGCAGUCGCAUCCUAACAUUCACGAGAACCUCUCCAGGAAACUAACCCAGACCGGGC